rnacentral:rRNA from 1 species
AGAAGCUUGCUUCUCUUGAGAGCGGCGGACGGGUGAGUAAAGCCUAGGAAUCUGCCUGGUAGUGGGGGAUAACGUUCGGAAACGGACGCUAAUACCGCAUACGUCCUACGGGAGAAAGCAGGGGACCUUCGGGCCUUGCGCUAUCAGAUGAGCCUAGGUCGGAUUAGCUAGUUGGUGAGGUAAUGGCUCACCAAGGCGACGAUCCGUAACUGGUCUGAGAGGAUGAUCAGUCACACUGGAACUGAGACACGGUCCAGACUCCUACGGGAGGCAGCAGUGGGGAAUAUUUGACAAUGGGCGAAAGCCUGAUCCAGCCAUGCCGCGUGUGUGAAGAAGGUCUUCGGAUUGUAAAGCACUUUAAGUUGGGAGGAAGGGCAUUAACCUAAUACGUUAGUGUUUUGACGUUACCGACAGAAUAAGCACCGGCUAACUCUGUG